rnacentral:lncRNA from 1 species
UUGUACAGAUGUAAUACUCGCAAGCAAAAGAUUGUUUACAAACUUCCUGAAUAUUAUCAAUGCAGAACAGCUGUGGAGACACUUUAACCCGAAGAUCUAUACCAAACGUAGUCUGCUUACCAUGUAACAUGGUUGCAUCUUGAGCAGUGACCUGCCGAGGGCAAAGGACCCUGCUCCCUGGACUCACAGAUUUUCUAACGCUUGGGCAGGUGGUUACUGCAUGUUCCACAUCCGUCAAUGCAACUUAGGACAAAACCAACAGGAUACAAAAACCAGAGGCGAGGCUGCCGGGACCAGCAUAUUCCACUGCAGCCCAAUGGAUUUUAUUUAUUUUUUUCAUUUUGGUGAUUCUCAGAAGCAGAAAGCAUCACUUUAAAAAGUUUGUUCAUGCAAACUAUAUUUGCAUUCUUACAUUAGUUAAGCUAAGCAGCAAAAAGAAACACACACACACACACACACACACACACACACACUUCCAUCUAGCCCAUGUCAUUUAAUUGUCCAUUUCUUUGACAUAAACCGCAUCUUCUCCACAUGGGCGUCACGUGGUUUGGAGAUGGGUGGGGGAGAACAAUCAGGUUUCUUCAGGCUGAGGAGGACUUGCUCAGGCCGAUUCCAAACAUUGUGCUCGUUCAAUGCGUAGAAAUGAUUUGCAUGAUGGCAUGCCGUGAUCAGAAGUCAUGCAUGAGACCCAUACACCACAGGACACUACUAAUCCUGUCCCCUGCGCUGGGUCAGCCUUUGGACAGGACCCAGCCCGGCACCGUUCACUGUAUUUGGAGGAAAAAAAAAUGAUAACAAAUCGUCACUGGUGGGACCCGAGGUAGAGAUGGAGCCGCCUCUGAACCAAGCCCGCUUGGUUUCUUUAUCGUACCGAUUCUCAUGAGAAAGCGAUUCAAUAUUAAUUCCUAAGACAUUGCAGCUUCCCCUCACCCGCCCUCCCGGCACAUUCCCUUUCAGCCCGUUGUCAUUGUUGUGCCGCCUGCUUAUGGACCUGCCCAUUGUCAUCGGAGGGUGGCCUUGUGGUGGGGGUUGAGGGGGAGCAUCCGUCUUCUGGCCCCUCUCCCACUUUAGGGAAGACAGCUUUUAGUCCAGGGGUUUUUCAUCCUAUGACUAGAUCAAAACCAAGAUGCUGCAGUUGAGCGUGUCAGGAGGUCUAGACAAAGAAUGAGGAGACACGUUAACAUGCGAACCAAAUCAAACUAAAUUCCUCCUGAACCAUAAAGUAGAGGGGGGAUAAAGACACCCCCACCCCCGCGAUCAGACACACCAGUCUGCCUUGUAACAGAAGCGCUCGGUGGAACCGCACAUCCGCCUGACGAGUUUUGC